AGGAUAAACGCUGGCGGCGUGCCUUACGCAUGCAAGUCGCACGGACCUUCGGGUCAGUGGCGGACGGGUGAGUAACACGUACGUGAUCUGUCCCAAACUGGGGGAUAACCGCCCGAAAGGGUGGCUAAUACCGCAUGUGGUCUCCGUUUUGCGAUUCGGAGAGUAAAGCUUCGGCGGUUUGGGAGGAGCGUGCGGCCGAUUAGCUAGUUGGUGGGGUAACGGCCUACCAAGGCAGCGAUCGGUAGCUGGUCUGAGAGGACGGCCAGCCACACGGGGACUGAGACACGGCCCCGACUCCUACGGGAGGCAGCAGCGAGGAAUCUUGGUCAAUGGGCGAAAGCCUGAACCAGCGACGCCGCGUGGAGGAUGAAGGCCCUCGGGUCGUAAACUCCUUUUGUGUGGGAAGAAGAUCUGACGGUACCACACGAAUAAGCCACGGCUAACUCCGUGCCAGCAGCCGC
rnacentral:rRNA from 1 species